UACAGGGGGUGCAAACGUUGCUCGGAAUCAUUGGGCGUAAAGCGCACGUAGGCGGUUCGUUAUGUCGGAUGUGAAAGCCCUUGGCUUAACCGAGGAAGUGCAUCCGAAACUGGCGAGCUAGAGUACGAAAGAGGAUCGCGGAAUUCCCGGUGUAGAGGUGAAAUUCGUAGAUAUCGGGAGGAACACCGGUGGCGAAGGCAACUCGCUGGGACGGUACUGACGCUGAGGCGCGAAAGCGUGGGGAGCAAACGGG
rnacentral:rRNA from 1 species